UACGUAGGGGGCAAGCGUUGUCCGGAUUUAUUGGGCGUAAAGAGCGUGUAGGCGGCCUGAAAGGUCAGCUGUGAAAACUCGAGGCUCAACCUCGAGACGUCGGUUGAAACCAUCUGGCUAGAGUCCGGAAGAGGAGUGUGGAAUUCCCGGUGUAGCGGUGAAAUGCGCAGAUAUCGGGAAGAACACCCGUGGCGAAGGCGGCACUCUGGGACGGUACUGACGCGUGAGACGCGAAAAGCGUGGGGAGCCGAACGAGG
rnacentral:rRNA from 1 species